GAAGCUCAGCUGGUUAGAGCAUGGUGCUGAUAAUGCCAAGGGAGUCAGUUCGAUUCCUGUAUGGGCCA